GAUGAACGUUGGCGGCGUGCCUAACACAUGCAAGUCGAACGAGAAGCCGGUUUCGAUCGGUGGAAAGUGGCGCACGGGUGCGUAACACGUAGCUCACCUGCCCUCAAGCCGGGGAUAACAGUGGGAAACCACUGCUAAUACCCGAUAAGCUCCCGGGUUGUAAAGACCUGCGAGAAAAGUGCUAGCGCUUGGGGAUGGGGCUGCGGCCCAUCAGCUAGUUGGUAAGGUAAGAGCUUACCAAGGCGACGACGGGUAGGGGGCCUGAGAGGGUGGCCCCCCACACUGGGACUGAGACACGGCCCAGACUCCUACGGGAGGCAGCAGUGAGGAAUAUUGCGCAAUGGAGGAAACUCUGACGCAGCGACGCCGCGUGGGUGAAGAA
rnacentral:rRNA from 1 species